rnacentral:misc_RNA from 1 species
GAAUUUGUAUUUAAAUUUUAUAGUUUAAGGAUCAAAAAAAAAAAAUAUUGUAUGGAGAAAGUUGAAGUCAAUGAAAUGUGUUUGUGUUGAUAAACGAUUAAAAUGGCCGCCGUUUCGUUUUGAGUACAACAAAAUUUCGGUGCUUAUUGAUUCUCACCAAAUUUCCAAAAAGAAAAUUAUUUAAAAUCUUCUGAUUUAAUGGAUCGACUUGUUGAUAAAGCUUAUUCUAAGUUUUGCACCAUAAAAUAAAGGAAGCGCUUUUAGUGCUAUGCUGUAAGUACUGCUAGUGAUUUUUAUUUAUUGAAAAUACAUGUUGUGAAUGCUUAUAAUGUCCGUUGUGCUUGUGAGUAUAUGAUUGUUAAACGUUCAGAAUAUAUUGUUAAAAACCUAUAAGAUGAGCAAAAGAACUGGUCGGAAGCCGAAACGUGAACGUACAUCAAGACGUCGUACUAGGCGCCAUUCGUCUACAUCGGAAACAUCGUCAGAAGAUGUACCACCUAAAACUCGAGCUACCAGUAGAGUUGAUGAGGUCGAAAGGAAAGUAGCUCUCACAAUAAAACUACCAAAGCCAGAGAGUAAUGAUUGCAAUGAAGAAAACACAACCGGGAUGUGGAAAGUAGAGUGUUCAAAUGGAUCGGAUGGUGAUAUUCAAAAGUUAAAAAUUAGUCUUAGGCGUUCACCUAAAGAUUUAUUAAGAGAACAGGCUGCUGAAGCCAAAUAUGCAGCUGAACGAAAAGAGAAAGAAGAAGCAGCUAGUAGUUCAACACAUUCAUCUGCUUUAGAUGGUAGUGUCACAAACUAUUUAGAACAAUUUGGCAGUACUGUAGUAGUUAAAGAAACUGAACAAAAUAUUGUGGAUUCUAAUGAACAAGUGAAAAUUGUUAUUCCUGCCAAUGAACCAACAUACAAUCAAGGCAAUAUAAGUCAAAUUGAUAAUAAUCAAAUAGAUGACAGUAAAAUUAUAUCUGAUUUAAUAACAUCUCAAGAUGAAUCCAUUGUAAAAAAUAUUUCUAUUGAUAAAAAUAUGCUCAUUGAUGAAGUAGUUAGUGAUACUGUAGUUAAAUCAAAUGUAAUUCUUGAAAAUACUGUAGAUCAAACAACUGUUGCAGUAGAAUCAAUCAAUCCAAUUAAUUUGUCUGAAGAUUUAAUUGGCUCAACAGUCAAUCCUCUUAAUGAGGAAUGCCAAAUUUCGGAAGAAAAAUUGACAAAUGUUGAAGUUAUACCUUCAGAUAUUGAUAUUCCAAUAGCCUUAAGUGAAACAAUUCAGGAUGUUAAUCCAGAAUUUGUUGAAAAUAUAGUAAGUGAGAUAAAUGUAUCUAAAGUCAUAGAAGAAGAAAAUGAAUCUAAUGCUGAGAUAAGUAAAACAGCUAAUGAUAUCAUAGAAGAAAAAACUAAAUCUGAUUUAAUUAAUGAUUCAGAACAGAUGGAAGAUGUUGUACAAUUAACUGUAGAAUCUCCAGAUUUAGUUGAUGAUGAAGAUCCAAAACCAGCUUAUGAAGAAGAACUAAAACCAAUUGAUAAGGAAACUAAACCAGUGGUUGAUAAAGAAUCCAUCUCAGUGGAUAAUAAAGAAUCCAUAACAGUAGAAGAACCAAAACUAGUGUGUGAUAAAGAAUCUAAACCAAUUGUAGAAUCUUAUCCAGUGCAGUUAUUAGAUACACAAAAAGUUGAAGUUGAGGAAGUAGCAAAAUCAUCAUCUUCACAUCCAAAGCGUAAAUGGGGGUCUUGUAAAACAAGGACACCUAUUACGAUUAGUCCUUUUACAUUAGGAAUAAUAAUAGAAUCAAACAGUGAUUUUAUUGGAGAUAAUAGUGAGUAUCGUUCAGAAGAAGGAGAAAUACAAAGAACAGAUUCUGAGGAAGAACAAGAUGUUGAAGAAGCUAUGGAAAUGAAUGAUACCAUGUUAAUUGAUCAUGAAGCAGUUGAUUAUGAAGCUCCUGAUGAAGAAGAAAAACCAUCAGACAUUGAUGAUGAUGAAUGCAAAUCUGAAAAAUCCUUAACAGAAGAAGUUAAUAAAGUAGAGCCAAAAAAGAAUUUAUCCGCUGUAAAACAUUUAACUUCAAAUGUCAUCCGGAUUACUAAUCUUGUCCGGCCAUUUACUGUUGGUCAACUAAGAGAUUUGUUACAAAGGACAGGAAAAAUUGUUUCCAAUGGAUUUUGGAUUGAUUCAAUUAAAUCGCAAUGUAUUGUUGAGUAUGAAAAUGAAGAUCAGGCUAUUGAAACUGUAUACGCAUUAAAUGAAUCCCAGUGGCCAUCAACCAAUCCUAAAUUUUUAAGAGUUGUUUUUACUGAUAAAGAAGAAUUAAAUAAAGCUUUAAAUGGAACUCAACCAGACCGUUUGGAGAAGCAAAAUGAGUCAAAAGUAGAAAAACUUAGAACUCGGGUGGAAAAUAAUAUUAUUUUACGUGAAUGGGACAGAGGCAAAUUGGAAGAUAUGAAUGGUGAAAAAGAAGAUAAACCUACUAAAAGAAAAAUAUCUGAUGAUCAUUUUUCAAAGGAUAAAAAAGUAAAAAAAGAUCUACAGGACAAACAAAAAAAAUCUAAAACUCCUGAACGUAUUCCUACUAAAAGUUUAGAUGAACUGUUUCGAAAAACUAAAACUUCCCCAACAUUAUAUUGGUCUCCACUUUCUCUUGAACAGAUAACAGAAAAAGAAGACCAACGACGUAAACAUUUAGCAGAAAUGGAACGGUCUCAAAAAACUGAUCGUAGAAGAAGAGAUAACAACAAUAUUUAUCCUAGAAGGCGUUAGCAAUUGUAUAUAGAAAGUAUUUUAUAUAUUAAAAGAAAAUACCUACAUUUUAUAUCAAUUGGUACCUCCGAGAUUUGUCACCAGAUACCAGAGGGGAUAUCACAAUCCAAGCUGUUUUUAUGAUAAUUUGAUUAU